GGCGGCGUGCCUAAUACAUGCAAGUGGGACGCAAGGAAACACACUGUGCUUGCACACCGUGUUUUCUUGAGUCGCGAACGGGUGAGUAACGCGUAGGUAACCUGCCUAUUAGCGGGGGAUAACUAUUGGAAACGAUAGCUAAUACCGCAUAAUAUUAAUUAUUGCAUGAUAAUUGAUUGAAAGAUGCAAGCGCAUCACUAGUAGAUGGACCUGCGUUGUAUUAGCUAGUUGGUAAGGUAAGAGCUUACCAAGGCGACGAUACAUAGCCGACCUGAGAGGGUGAUCGGCCACACUGGGACUGAGACACGGCCCAGACUCCUACGGGAGGCAGCAGUAGGGAAUCUUCGGCAAUGGACGAAAGUCUGACCGAGCAACGCCGCGUGAGUGAAGAAGGUUUUCGGAUAGUAAAGCUCUGUUGUAAGUCAAGAACGUGUGUGAGAGUGGAAAGUCACACAGG
rnacentral:rRNA from 1 species